GCUGGGCUCUCGCUCAGACUUAAGGGGCGAGACUGACGCCCUCGCCAAAAGCUACCCUUCGCAACACCCCAAUCCCGCCGGCUUCAGGCUUCUCGCUGAGAUUCCGCUAUACCGGCAGGCAGUGAGGUUGGGGGAGACCUGGUGGCUCCCCUCAGCCCAUCAGAACAGAUGUCGGCGGGUUUAGAGUGGCCCCGACCGCAGGCACGUCCGGGCUGCUCUUCUGCGAAGGAGACUUGCUCCUCGGGAGGCUCCCCGCAAGGCUGAGCCCCCGAGGCUGCUGUUUUGGGGAAGGGCGACCGCCAAGGUCCAGCUGGCCGGACAGGCAGAGUCGCCCCUCCGAGGAUGCUCCUGAGACUUGGGAGAGGAAGGAGGGAAGAGAAGCGCCCGGCAAAGGGGCCGUCGAUUUUUUAUUUCUGUGCUUUAAUGGAAGCCAUCAGUUAGUUCUCAGAAGACAGGGCUGGCCGAGGCAGCCCGCACAGCGCUGCUAGAAAGCGCCCGUCAAAGCUGCGGCCAACUGCGUUGUGUCCAGGUAUCCUAGGGGGCGGCCACUUUUUUUAAUACCAGGACACAAAACAGUCUCCAGGGGUGAGAGAUAUGUUUACUGUGUUUACCUGUUGACAAGAGGGAAAUGCAAACUAUAACCUAACGUGACAUCGUUUGCAAAGGUAGCUUUCACUAGACAAAAGUCAAUUUUACCUUCCCGCAAAACCCGUCUGAACCUUUGGAACUUUUAUUUGCGGCAAUUUGGCGCCCUCUGGCUGUAUUUGGAUUAUUUUCAUGUUCGCCUACGUUUCAGCCAAGGAAAAUGAUCAACUUGCGGGUUGUCCUACAGGUCGGAUGCCCUCUUGACCUGGGCACUAAUUCGGAACAAGCUUGACCUCCAGAAUCAGGGUGACAAAAUGUAACCACAUUUAGAUAGACACACACUAAAGGAAGUUUCUAUUGACACUAAAUUUCCACCUCUGAUGCAAAUCCUGAUGUCCUGGUGAUGUUACAUCCUACUGCUGGGACCUCUACCCAAGAGACCCACAUCUGACUUUAAAAGCUGCCAUGAGCUGAGCAACACUCCUCCACCACACCCUUCUGCCAUGAUGUUCUGCCUCACCUUGGGCCCAGAGCAAUGGAAUCAUCCAACCCUGGACUGAACCUCUGAAAACAUGAGCCAAAAUAAACUUGUCUUCCUCCAAGUUGAUCUUAUCAGCUGACCUCUUCAGUAAACCUCGCUACCAUCAUAGGUGGCUGGAGGCUGGAGCUAAGAGGAGCCGUCCUGAAGCUGGUUUAAAGAUGGUGAAACCAGGAGCAUGUGUGAUCUCAGUUUCGGUCUUAAUCUCUGACUUCACUGGCUUCCAAGCUGCUUGGGUCAAUGAAGUGCAGCCCAAAGAAAAUGGAGCCAUAGAACUGCCUUGCACCUGUGACCCCAGCGAGCUCCUCCACCAUCAUAGCCUGCUCCAGCUGCCCAGGGCCACCUUCCCUCAACACCCCAUCAACUUGGACUGUAGGCUGAUUUCUGCUGACUCACCUGGCUACUGAUUUCCCUGAAGGGGAUGCACCCCAGAGCCCACUGUCCCUUCUCUGGGACUCUCUACCUUCCUCUUUUCCCUCCUCCUCUUCUGCUCCACCCAUGCUAUUGCACCAAGCCUAGGAGAUAACAUUGCCCAGAUGCCAGAACAGUCAGCAGGUGAUUAAUAUCCAUCACACAGGCAAGUGUGGGCCAUGAGUGAACAGGGAGAGGUUUUGAGUUGGACACCAACCCAUUUCCUCUCCAUCAACACAAAGGUGGGAAUAACCGCAAGAAUGGCUUUUUAAAUGCCAGUCCAUAUGCUUCAAAUUUAUCCCAGAGUUAUUUCCAUAGAUCUCAUUUCUUUCUCUGCCUCCACUCUGUUUUUCCCCUUUUUUUCUUUUCCCUGAUUGCCUGCUCAGUCCCUAUCUCAUUUCCUGUUUCCUCACUAAGGCUAAGAAGCCAUGUGAACACCUUGCCAUAACAAGUAGCCCUAACCAGACCCUACAACUUACCCCACUGUUCAGAGGACACUGUUCUGGAGAACUCUGCCAUUGCCCUCAUGCUCACAGACACAGGAACAUGAGUCACCAGUGAGACACUGUUGCCACCCGCCUUUCUCCCCAAACCUCCUCCCCCAAAAGAGGAAAUGGCCUCUGGCAUCGGGAUGUAUGAACAAGAAUUCCAAUGCUAGGCAUAAAGCAUGAGAACUUCCGCCACCAACUUCCGAGCUGGUUAUAGGAUGCUGGUCUCAUGUUUGGUUUUCAAACCUCAAAUCUAAAGGAGAAUAUCACUUGGAGUAUGAUUUGUAAGAAGCAGUUUGGAGACUGACUCAGUCCUAACGUUACAUGGCUUCUGUCAUUUAAAAAGGAUUACAAUUUUUUAAAAGAGAUACUCCAGCAAUUGAGAGGAUGGAAAUGAAAAGAGCUGUAAUUCCUUUUAAAAUGCAUAAAGCAAUAUUAUGGGAGAAGGAAGAUCACAUUAGCCACACUGGUCAAUGAAGCUAAAAUGAGAUGCAAUUAAGUUAGUUCAAAGAAAGGUUUGAUUAAAGAUUACAAAAAGCUCUCUAAUUAAGAGGAAAGAAAAGAAUCUUGGGCAAGGCUGCUAGAGGAGGUUACAAACUUGUUAGCCCUGCAGACUGAAAUGAGAAACCCAACAAUUAGAGACGGUCCAGAUAAAACAGCAUCAUUCCAACAAUGGACAAGCUCCUUCUCUAGUUAUGAUCUGUAGACCUAAGUCAUGCUCUUUCUGGAUAUUUCAGAAUCCUGAGAGUGAACAUGUGUGGCAAGGCCAACCUGCCUGUCACGCCACUCCACUAGAGCUGGUGCCAGAGAAGGCUCCCGGGGCAUUUCUCCAAGCUCCGGUCCCCAGGAACCAAACACGAUAUGCCAAUAACUUGUUCAACAUGGAUAAAAUUAUCUGUGAAAAAUAUGAUUUGAAGUAAAUUGAAAAUAGAGAGGACUAGAAAUGAUUAGACAGUCUAGAUUUGUUAAACCCAUCUAUGGUUCGAAACUUUCUCUCUGCUUCCUCUUAUUCCACCAGCAAUCUAGAACAAAUUCAGUCUCGUGGAUUAUCUGGGAAAUGUUGGCAUUCAGAAUUACACACUGAAUUCUAUCUCUUUUUCUUGUUUUUACUGUGGAGGAAUUGAGGACACCAUCUAGAAGAACUCCUCUAAACCGUUCACCAACAAUUCUGCAGCCAUAUCUCUUCCCAUCCAGGGGCUGGCUGUUCCCAUCUGCUCCCAUGCUGCAAAAGAGCAGACUUUUCUGGAAUUGGCAGUAAAUUGGCAUUUGCACCACUUGCAUCCUAAUGUAAAAAAAAAAAGAAAAAAGAAAUCUCGUCAGAGAAGAAAUAGUCAAUUCCCCCAAACAAACACUUAAGAUGAAGCAGAGUGAUUCUUGGUUAUAAGCCAGGAGCAAUGAAAGGGUAUGUCCAUGUGUGAAUUUGCAUUUGAAUUCCCCCCAGGAAGGCAGGCUUAGCAAACCAAUUAACUAAUUAAACCAAUUAACCAAAUAUGUAAUUAACCUUGAGAACAGAGGUGUCAACAAAAGCACAACAAAGAAGUCACCCUCCUUGGGAAUUGCCUGGUGAUUUUAAACUUUUCAGUUUUCUCUCUUAAAGGCAUUUCAUUUUAACCUUUGGGCCUCAGUUUCUUCAUCUGAAAAAAAAAAAAAACUCUGGGUAUUGGAUUGAUGGCCAAGCAGUAUGAUCCUAUGGACAGGAUGGAAUCCAGCCCAGGGCAGUAUGAGCCAUACUUCAUGGUCCAUUGUCUGUAAGUAAAUACACAGGAGCUUUGAAGGACAUGGUCUGCGGAACACUGGCCCCUUCUUGCUCAUUUCUUUUGAAAACACACAUGUCCAUUAUUACUAAAAGCAGAAUAAAUAGAAAUUUCCAACAGACAUCUCUUCUUGGAGACAACCAUGAUCUGGUAUUUCAAACAAUAAACUGUAGAAGAAAAGGGAUGAAGAAAGGGGAGGUAAACUGUUAAAGUUAUGGGAGGUCUCCUCGGUGGGGCUCCAGCAGACCAGAUCUAGCCAGUCUGGAGUCCCUCCUGCUAACUGCCACAUAAUCAAAUUGAACUCUGAAACAGGACGAUUUUUCCAAAAGCAAGGGGUUGACAGCAACCAAUCAGAAGGGGCCCAGUUUACCUGAGCAAGAAGGACAAGAAAUCCAAUAAGGAAGUCACAUUGAAAUGACCCAUUUGCUUUUUGUUCCCCAUUUCUGCUUUCUCCAGCCCUUUUCUGCCUGUAGAGGCAAACUCCCUGCUCAGUUCAUUGGAACAUCCCUUAACUUUGUAGAAAGAGUUUUUGCCCAAUUCUAAAAUCACAAGUAAAAUCCAAUUAGGUCUAAAAACUCAAAUUACUGUGAUUUUUGUCUCUGACAACCAUUUCUAGAAGUUUGGUCUUUAUACAGAAAUCCCUAGGACUUCAGGAAUCCUGUGGUAUCAGAGCACUUCUGACAUGUGGUAUAUCUUCUUUGCCAAAACAAUAAAUUAAUGCCUUGCCAUGAUUACUUUUGAGUAGCUCACCUUACAAAAUUUUGGUUUUCAAGUAGCUUCAGAAAUGUUGCUUAGAAUGAUUCAUGGGAAAGAUCUAAGCCUGUUGCCUUUAAGUAGCUUUCAUUUAAGGUUGCUGUGAAAUUCAUUCUGAAAAAAAUCAAUCAACAGUUUCGUUGAACAGCAAGUAGAUAAUACAGACCAGAGUCAAGUGUCCAUUGACUAAGGUAGAUUAAGGCUCAGAUCAUUAUUUAUACCAUAUCACCAAAAACAAAAUCAUGGAGGAGAGAUCUCUCAAUCAAAUCAUUAUGGGAAGUGAAGGCUACAACUCUUGGAAAUGUGAAGCUUAUCAGGGAAAUAAAUACAUAUGUGAAAUCUCAUACUGGGUUUUCCUGUUCCUCCUUUAUAAAGGAUGCCACUUUUUUGAUGUUGACCUUGGGCAAGAUCAAAGCUCACCUGUGCUAAGUCAGAACACAAUUCCUAAUCCUCAAGUAAAAAGAUACACUUGUGAACAGGACCGCUCAGCCAAGCUCACAGGCUCUCCACAUUAGCAGGGAUUUAAAAUUUAUAGCCAGGCAAGGGUGUCAGAGGCAUCACAUUUCAUUCACUAAAAUGCCAAGUACCCCAUUCUCACCCCAAGUGCCUGCACUCAGUAUUAUCUCAGUUAACCUCUAAGUUUCCUCAUCUGAAAAGUGAAGGGUCUGUGGAAUAGAAAAUCUCUAUGAUCCUCUCAUGAUUCACAUAGAUUCUUUUCCACCAAUAGAGGAAGAGCCUUCCUGACAGCACACAUUUCCAUUUCCAGUAUUUUGGAGCAAGCAGUACUUUGAAAAUUUGGUAUGAAAGCUUUUCUUAAGAUAAAGAGCUAGCAUUUCCUUGAGAAUAAUGGCCAGUCUCUUUGAAACUUUAGCCAGGGAACUUAUCAAAUAAAGAAACCACCUCUUCUAGACCAUAGGCUGAAUCCAAGAAAGUAAAAAAACCCAAAUGCCUCAUGGGAAUUUAGAAUUACACAGUUGCUGGCUGAAUUGAGAGUCAAGAAUGUGAAUUUGUUUUGCCAAGAUUCUCUAAGAACGUAUGAGCUGGGGCUCAUUUUUCUUUAAAUCAUGUAAUUAAAGAAAAGAACCUUCUAGAGAGAGAGAUGUGUAAUUGAAGAAAAGAAACUUCUAGAAAGGUCUGAAUCAUCUCAGGAAACCAAGUAAAGAUAAUGAUACCUGGUCCCCACUCAGUGUGCUCUUUCUUGCUCUACUUGCACCCCAAAUGAGCUGCUGUCCUCACAGAGCAUUGGAAACUCUGGUAGCAGCAAGAAUUUCAAUUCUAACUUGCUUCAUAUAAACAAAGUUAAUUUUAUUCUGACUACCUCUAUGAAA